rnacentral:misc_RNA from 1 species
GUGAAUCAUCAAAUCUUUGAACGCAAAUUGCACUUUCUGGUAUUCCGGAAAGUAUGCCUGUUUGAGGGUCAGUUAAAUAAAAAUCGGUGUUGUUGCUGCUUUUCGUGGUGACGCGUCGGAAUUGAGUUGUCUUACCUUCGGUUAAGUGACUUAAAAUUUGGCAGGUUUUUCGAAGGAAUUAAAAUUUUUAAGGAAGGUUUGA